rnacentral:rRNA from 2 species
UAAUUCUAGAGCUAAUAUUUACUGAAAAGCCGUGACUUUAUGAAGCGGCGGAUUUAUUAGAUCAAAAUCAACGCUCAGCAAUGGGCCGAAAUUGAUGAAUCUGGAUAACUUUACUGAUCGUACGACCUUUUGUGUUGACGACAUAUCUCUUGAAAAGGCUGACCUAUCAACUUUCGAUGGUAAGAUCCUGGCUUACCAUGGUUGUAACGGGUAACGGGGAAUCAGUGUUCGAUUCCGGAGAGGGAGCCUGAGAAACGGCUACCACAUCUACGGAAGGCAGCAGGCGCGCAAAUUACCCAAUACCGGCUCGGUGAGGUAGUGACAAAAAAUAACAAUAUGGGCCCUAGUGGUUUCAUAAUUGCAAUGAGAACAUUUUAAAUACUUUAUCCAGUAUCAAUUGGAGUAUAUGGCCGGUGCUCUUCAAUGGGUGCCGGUCAUGGCCGACAAGUUUACUUUGAAAAAAUUAGAGUGCUUAAAGCAGGCUUAUGCUUGUAUAUUGUUGCAUGGAAUAAUGAAAUAGGACUUCGGUUUUAUUUUGUUGGUUUUCGGAACUGAAGUAAUGAUUAAAAGAGACUGCCGGGGACAUAUGUAUGCUGGUGUGAGAGGUGAAAUUCUAAGAUCGCCAGCAGACAAACUACUGCGAAAGCAUUUGUCAAGAAUGUUUUCAUUAAUCAAGAACGAAAGUCAGAGGAUCGAAGACGAUCAGAUACCGUCCUAGUUCUGACCAUAAACUAUGCCAACUGACAGUUAGUGAAGGUAGUUAUUGACAUCCUCACUAGAAGUCACCGGGAAACCUAAGUCUAUGGGUUCCGGGGGAAGUAUGGUUGCAAAGCUGAAACUUAAAGGAAUUGACGGAAGGGCACCACCAGGAGUGGAGCCUGCGGCUUAAUUUGACUCAACACGGGAAAUCUCACCCGGUCCGGACACUGUGAGGAUUGACAGAUUGAUAGCUCUUUCUUGAUUCGGUGGGUGGUGGUGCAUGGCCGUUCUUAGUUGGUGGAGCGAUUUGUCUGGUUAAUUCCGAUAACGAACGAGACUCUGGCCUACUAAAUAGUACGCUUGUGUUUAAUCGCAAGUGCUGACUUCUUAGAGGAAUUAGUAGCUUUUAGCUAAAUGAAAUAGAGCAAUAACAGGUCUGUGAUGCCCUUAGAUGUCCGGGGCCGCACGCGCGCUACAAUGGCAGUAUCAACGAGUUUUUAUGUCCUAGCUAGAAAUGGCCGGGUAAUCUUGUGAAACACUGUCGUGUCAGGAAUAGUGGUUUGAAAUUUUUCCACUUGAACGAGGAAUUCCUAGUAAGCGCAAGUCACUAGCUUGCGCUGAUUACGUCCCUGCCCUUUGUACACACCGCCCGUCGCUACU